ACGCUCGACACCUACGGGAGACAGCAGUUGGGAAUAUUGGACAAUGGAGGAAACUCUGAUCCAGUGACGCCGCGUGAAGGAAGAAGGUCUUCGGAUUGUAAACUUAUUUUGUCAGGGAAGAAAAAUGACUGUACCUGAAGAAAAAGCACCGGCUAACUACGUGCUAGCAGCCGCGGUAAUCUGAGCGGGCUGGCAAGGC
rnacentral:rRNA from 1 species